rnacentral:rRNA from 1 species
UCCUCGGCACCACCUGGUCCGAGUAGGAAAGCUCCGGCGGCCUGGGAUGGGCCCGCGGCCUAUCAGCUUGUUGGUGGGGUAAAGGCCCACCAAGGCGACGACGGGUUAGCUGGCGUGAGAGCGUGGCCAGCCACACUGGGACUGAGACACGGCCCAGACUCUUACGGGAGGCAGCAGUGGGGAUCUUGCGCAAUGGGCGAAAGCCUGACGCAGCGACGCCGCGUGGGGGAUGAAGGCCCUCGGGUUGUAAACCCCUUUCAGCGGGGACGAAGCGAGAGUGACGGUACCCGCAGAAGAAGCCCCGGCUAACUACGUGCCAGCAGCCGCGGUAAGACGUAGGGGGCGAGCGUUGUCCGGAUUUAUUGGGCGUAAAGCGCGCGCAGGCGGCCCGGUAAGUCGGAUGUGAAAACCCGAGGCUCAACCUCGGGCCGUCAUUCGAUACUGCCGGGCUCGAGGCAGGUAGGGGAGAUCGGAAUUCCCGGUG